GUCUGAGCCUCGCCGGAUUUGAGUGUUAUUAGUGAACCCCAAAUCUUGAACCACCACGCGAAUCUCUCCCUCUCUCUUUCCCGUAAAGCACCACGCGAAUCUCUCCCCCUCAUUCUAAAUGACGGGCCGCCACGCUCUCGAAGCCGACGCGAAUCAAGUCCCAAAAUCAAGGUGAGCAAUUUAAAGUUGAAGAACCCCAUCCAGAGGUAAGGCAGGGCGAGCAGAUGAGGGCGCAAAUGAUGGCCCAUAGCGACCAGAUGAGGGCGCAGCUGAGGGCGCAAGCUGAGGUGAUGAAGAACUAUGCUGGGACAAUGAGAGACCUUGUACAAACCAUACAGAUGUUCGGCCUCCAAAUCUCGCUACAACCACCUCAUCUUGCUCCACCUUCAGAGCCACCUUGCCUUGCCGAUACCCAGCAGCCUGAUAUUAAACCUA